AGAGUUUGAUCAUGGCUCAGGACGAACGCUGACGGUGUGCUUUAGACAUGCAAGUCGAACGAGAAAGCCCUUCGGGGUGAGUACAGUGGCGAACGGGUGAGUAACACGUGGGUAAUCUGCCCCUCGCAGGGGGACAACCGGGGGAAACCCCGGCUAAUACCCCGUACGCUUGCCGGGCCGCAUGGCACCGGCAAGGAAAGGUAGCUUCGGCCAUCCGGCGAGGGAUGAGCCCGCGGUCCAUUAGCUAGUUGGUGGGGUAACGGCCUACCAAGGCGACGAUGGAUAGCUGGUCUGAGAGGAUGAUCAGCCACACUGGGACUGAGACACGGCCCAGACUCCUACGGGAGGCAGCAGUCGGGAAUCUUGCGCAAUGGGCGAAAGCCUGACGCAGCAACACCGUGUGGGCGACGAAGGCCUUCGGGUCGUAAAGCCCUGUUGUUGGGGACGAAGGGCAAAGGGUUAAUAGCCCCUAGCCCGACGGUACCCUUCGAGGAAGCCCCGGCUAACUACGUGCCAGCAGCCGCGGUAAUACGUAGGGGGCGAGCGUUGUCCGGAAUUAUUGGGCGUAAAGAGCGUGUAGGCGGUCCGGUAAGUCUGCCGUGAAAACCCGGGGCUCAACCCCGGGCGUGCGGUGGAAACUGCCGGGCUAGAGGAUGGUAGAGGCGAGUGGAAUUCCCGGUGUAGCGGUGAGAUGCGCAGAUAUCGGGAGGAACACCAGUAGCGAAGGCGGCUCGCUGGGCCAUUCCUGACGCUGAGACGCGAAAGCUAGGGGAGCGAACAGGAUUAGAUACCCCCGUAGUCC
rnacentral:rRNA from 1 species